UUUUCAGUUAUAAGCUUUUUCUUUUUUAGAAUUCAAGCUUACACAGUUAUCUAUGCCCACUAUAUUCAUAAUUACAUUUUAAUAUCUGCAUACAAAAGCUAUGUAAAAAUUAUUUUCUUCCCCCAAAUAUACAAAUUUUCUCUUUAGAUAGUUUAAAACAUUUGUGAUCACAGAUUUUGUUUUAAUAUAUUUUAGGCUGAAAAAAUAUUACCAAUCUAGCAUAACUCUUAACACUGUUUGCAAAAAAAUACAUCAUCCAAGGUACUUUGUUUUUUACUGUAUGGUGUAAUGUUUGCCUUAGCCUCAGGGCAUGAAACUGAUAUAAAAAAAAUAAACCAAAUAAGCAAAACCCACAAACCUCACAGACAAAGUAAGACAUCGUCCCAACCAGCUUCAUAAAAACAAAUAAACAACCCAAACCACCCUUCUCUUCCAAAAAAUUACAAAUGACUAAUUUGAUGUAUUUAUGAGCAAACUAAAACUGAAGAGUGUGAAGGAAGUAGAAAAAGAGAAAAAGAAAUUACAGUAUGUCAGCUAGUUCAUGCCCUGAUACUAUCUUUACCAACAUUAAAUGUGUAAUUAAAUAAAGUGUCUUUUCAUGUUUUACAUUGUGCUCAGUAAUUUACAUAAAUUUAAUCUACACCUGGGUGCUGAUGUAGAUUUACAUUUGAUUGUCUUGUGCAUAAACAAGAUUAGCAUUUAAAGAAGGUAAACUGUGCAAUGGACAGUCACAAACAACUUAUUACCUGCACAAUAUUGCUUUUUGAAGGCGACAUCAGUCAAUGUGGAUACACACGAAUAAUGCAUACUCUUUGCAUUUGCUAACAUCUAUGCUAAAACUCUGUGAUAAGGCCAAACCUUUUUUUUUUUUUUGUUUGUUUUUAAUUUUAAAGCAAAAAUAUACCAUAGUAAAAAAAAAAAUCAAACCGUGCUCACAUCGUUUUGAGUCUUUAAGUGGAAAAUAAAUCUCUAUCACACUAGAAUAAAAUUCUCUCUAUAAAAUUUAAAUACAGAUCACUUCAUCGCUGUAUCAAAAGGAAACGUCUGGCAAUCAUUUCCAGAUGAUCACAAUAACAAGACACAUUAAGAGGUCCUGUUGCCUCUUCCUUUGUGAAAAGAUAAAUGUUGAACACUUUCAAUUACUCUCACAGUGAGAGGAAUAUGUUCCUUGGUUGCGGAUUUUAAUUCCACCAAUGAAAAAGGUUUAGCCUUAGGAAUGCUGGCUACAUCUCAAAACCAUAAGACUGAUUUGUAUAAUUUAUGAUUCAUGCAGCAAGAAGUCAAUAUGACACAUACAGGUUAGAGUUCCAUAGCAUAAAAAUACAUCACUAGCAAUGACAUGCUCCGCUUGUGAUCAACAGCCCUGUCCUGGCAGAUUGCUGAUAUAAAUGGUCUUUCUGGACAGUUUUUAACUCUUUUCUGAUGCUUGCCUCUGAAGCAGCAAGCUGUCUGCUCAAGAAUGAUUUUUGGACCUUGGAGGUCUAUCUCUAAGGUCUAUAUUUUGGCAGAAUGUAAACAAAAGUCAUUAUCACACACUAUAUAUGUCAUUAUAAAUAUCACAACUUAAAUGAGAUUACACAUGAAAUGAGUAUCUAAAUGCAUGUGUUACUCAGGGCAAAACCACGAAUGGUGACAAUCAGGUUUGAGAGGAAGAAUCUCCUAUGUAAGACCAAUACACAGACCACAAAGAAAACAUGAGACUUACGUGGCACCAUGAGAAAUGAGACUCUGGACUGCACUGGAAAGUGUAUGUUUGUUAUUUUACUUGGUAGGCCAGUUACUACAAAGCAUGCUGACUGCAGUACUCAUGUCUGCCACUGGGAUGGUUAAAAGCAACUAUGUCUUUGCAGAACUACAGUCAGUAUUCACUGGUAAGAAUCUUCAAGAAUAUCCUCAUGUGAUCUAGUUUUGCUCUCAUCAUCACAUAAAUCAGCAGUCAUACUGAGGGAGUAAAUGAAGUCACACAAAAUAAGACUGGUAGGAGAUCAGAGGCCAUUAGAUGUCAGUACAUCAAACCUGUCAAACUAAGAGCUCGGUCUUAGUUUCCAAUUGAAUACUACUAAUCCUGCUCUGUUACUCAGUGCCAGGCUCUAGCUUAAUCUAAAAAGCUAGAGAAGUAUGUUGACAUAUGUCCUUUCUGCUUAGAGCCCUGCCGAACCUGUCAAAGUUGGUUGCCUGAUUUUCAGCACUUCAGUCCGUCUGCAACCACCUAAGGAAGGAAGCCUGAUCUUCUGAACCCUGAUUAAGCACAACUCCAAACUGCAUCAGCAUCUUGGGAAGUCAGGCC
ensembl:lncRNA